UGUAGGAUUUAAAUAUUUAGUAUAAAGCUUAAGAGAAGGCUGGAGUCUAAAGAUGAAAGUCUAAACUAUUAAGAGGCUUACUGAAAAAGAUGAAAGCAAGGUAUGAUUGGAUGAAGGUAAGAGGUGAAGAUCUUCAUCCCUAUUGGUCGAAUGUCAUGUCCAAUAGACUUCAAGGAGGCUGUCCGGGGCCUUAUUAGGAAUUAGAGUUUCUCUUCUAAGGUUAUUCGAGCUUUGGAGGCUAAAGUCAGCAAGUUUAGAUUUUUGGAUAUGGUUUGAAUGCAAAUUUUGUAUGAUUUGGAAUUUUUAUGAAGGAGUUAUAGGUGCUCAAAGUUAAGGUGUCAAUUUUGCACCUAUUGUCACUCUUUGGGGCAUACCAUAUGCUUAUGGAGAGCAACAAAGGAUUGGCAAUUGGGGUUGGAGAGGGCACUU
rnacentral:lncRNA from 1 species